rnacentral:rRNA from 1 species
UACAGAGGGGGCAAGCGUUGUUCGGAAUUACUGGGCGUAAAGCGCACGUAGGCGGCUUUGUAAGUUAGAGGUGAAAGCCCGGAGCUCAACUCCGGAAUUGCCUUUAAGACUGCAUCGCUCGAAUCAUGGAGAGGAGAGUGGAAUUCCGAGUGUAGAGGUGAAAUUCGUAGAUAUUCGGAAGAACACCAGUGGCGAAGGCGACUCACUGGUCCGGUACUGACGCUGUGGUGCGAAAGCGUGGGGAGCAAACAGG